UGGGGAAUAUUGCACAAUGGGGGAAACCCUGAUGCAGCAACGCCGCGUGAAGGAAGAAGUAUUUCGGUAUGUAAACUUCUAUCAGCAGGGAAGAAUAAAAUGACGGUACCUGACUAAGAAGAACCGGCUAAAUACGUGCCAGCAGCCGCGGUAAUACGUAUGGUUCAAGCGUUAUCCGGAUUUACUGGGUGUAAAGGGUGAGUAGGCGGUUAUGCAAGUCACAUGUGAAAUGUCGGGGCUCAACUCCGGCCUGCAUGAGAAACUGUAUAACUAGAGUGCAGGAGAGGCAAGCGGAAUUCCUAGUGUAGCGGUGAAAUGCGUAGAUAUUAGGAAGAACACCGGUGGCGAAGGCGGCUUGCUGGACUGUAACUGACGCUGAGUCACGAAAGCGUGGGGAGCAAACA
rnacentral:rRNA from 1 species